rnacentral:rRNA from 1 species
AUUGAACGCUGGCGGCAGGCCUAACACAUGCAAGUCGAGCGGAGCGGCGGACGGGCGAGUAAUUCCUAUGUAUCUGCCUGGUCGUGGGGGAGAACGACCGGCAACGGACGCUAAUUCCUAAUACUCUCUGUUGAGCCUAGGGGGGUUUAGCUAGUUGGUGGGGUAAAGGCCUACCAAGGCGACGAUCCGUAACUGGUCUGAGAGGAUGAUCAGACACACUGGAACUGAGACACGGUCCAGACUCCUACGGGAGGCAGCAGUGGGGAAUAUUGGACAAUGGGCGAAAGCCUGAUGCAGCCAUGCCGCGUGUGUGAAGAAGGUCUUCGGAUUGUAAAGCACUUUAAGUUGGGAGGCGUUACCAACAGAAUAAGCACCGGCUAACUUCGUGCCAGCAGCCGCGGUAAUUC